rnacentral:lncRNA from 1 species
CACUGAUAUUGGGAAUAAUGUGUAAAAUGUUUAUUGUCAUAAAAUUGAGCUUAUUCCCACUCCUCAGCAGCAAACACUGUAAAAAGUACUUUCAAAAAGUCUAUCCAACAGCUCUACUUUCACAGUGACUCUGAAUAUUUAAAGCUGGGAAUUGAAAUAAAAAUUAAAUUGCUUACAAAAUUUGCUUUACAAAAGAAGUCUGGCAUUUUUAUUCAAUCUUUUUAAAAAGCCAUUGAGAUAAAUACCAAGAAUCUAGCAUUGCAGGAUAAAUCAUAUUGGGCACAGAUGAGAAAUGUGCAGAGAUUAAAACCAAUUUGCCACUGUUCCAGGCACAGAGGAUGAAUCCUGGUCUGACUGAACUUGCAAAUAACAGGCCCCUGGAUUUCAAUGAGAUAAUAAUUUGAUCCAUGUGAUUGGUUCUGUCUCUUCCUUUGAUAUUUCUGUAAUUGCCUCUUCUUCUUUUAAUCCAAAACAACUGAGAAAGAAAGGAAAAGCCACAUAUGUUUUUGUAAGAAAAGGGCAAUACAUAACAUUAAAAAAAAUAUUUCAUCAAAGGUGCAACCAUUUAAAAUGCAAAACAGAGACUAGAGAGGUGACAAAUUCAAGUUCUUAGUGUUUUAUUUAAGAUCUUUCAAGUAUUCAUUUGCCAUGGAUACUUGUUUUUUUAAUGUAUUCAGUUAGUCAUAUUUGGUUCUCUUUUAUGUCCACUUCUCAUGAAUCACUUGACAGAUGGACUUCUACAAGCACAUCCCUUUGGGGAAAAUAUAUUUUAAGUGAUAAUAGGAACAUAAGACAUGCCAUCCUGGAUCAGAGCAAAGGUCUAUCUAGUCCAUACUCCAGAUCCAUCAGUAGCCAAGAGCAGUAUAUUAGAUUUUAACAGUAAUAACUUUGAUCUUUCAGUGAGUAUUAAGCUGGUGACUAAGCAGAAAAUCAAAAGAGAUCCCAAGAGCAGAACACUCCCAAACUCAGGAGAAAGAGCAGAGUCAGAGCUCCACUUGGUCCAGUGAGAUGGUAGUUAGAAGUUGUCAAGAUUUAGCUCAUCUUUAAUUGCUGCUGUCUCAAUUAAACUGCAUCUGUGAUAAUAACAGCCCCCCAGAGCCCAAACAGGAACUUAAACACACUGUGAGUAAAUUAAAUAAUUGUGUAAAUUAUAAAGUUUAUAUCUACUGAUUAUUGCAUUAAAAACUAUAUAUAGAGCACAUACUUUUUAUAAACUUUCUACUUUAGGAAAUCUUAUAAAAAAAUGUUUAGCCUG